GACGAACACUGGCGGCGUGCUUAACACAUGCAAGUCGAACGAUGAAGCCGGAGCUUGCUCUGGUGAAUUAGUGGCGAACGGGUGAGUAACACGUGAGUAACCUGCCCUUGACUCUGGGAUAACUGCGGGAAACUGUAGCUAAUACCGGAUACGACCCUCGGAGGCAUCUCCUGGGGGUGGAAAGAAUUUCGGUCAAGGAUGGACUCACGGCCUAUCAGCUAGUUGGUGAGGUAAAGGCUCACCAAGGCGACGACGGGUAGCCGGCCUGAGAGGGUGACCGGCCACACUGGGACUGAGACACGGCCCAGACUCCUACGGGAGGCAGCAGUGGGGAAUAUUGCACAAUGGGCGCAAGCCUGAUGCAGCAACGCCGCGUGAGGGAUGACGGCCUUCGGGUUGUAAACCUCCUUUAGCAGGGAAGAAGCGAAAGUGACGGUACCUGCAGAAAAAGCACCGGCUAACUACGUGCCAGCCGCCGCCGUAA
rnacentral:rRNA from 1 species